CGUAAGACGGAGGGGGCUAGCGUUGUUCGGAAUUACUGGGGCGUAAAGAGCGCGUAGGCGGACUAGUAAGUUGGGGAGUGAAAGCCCGAAGCUUAACUUCGGAAUUGCUUUCAAAACUGCCAGUCUUGAGUGUAGUAGGGGAUGAUGGAAUUCCUAGUGUAGAGGUGAAAUUCUUAGAUAUUAGGAGGAACACCGGUGGCGAAGGCGGUCAUCUGGGCUACAACUGACGCUUAUGCGCGAAAGCGUGGGGAGCAAACAGGAUUAGAUACCCUGGUAGUCCACGCCGUAAACGAUGAGUGCUAGAUAUCGGGAAUUUGAUUUUCGGUAUCACAGCUAACGCGUUAAGCACUCCGCCUGGGGAGUACGAUCGCAAGAUUAAAACUCAAAGGAAUUGACGGGGGCUCGCACAAGCGGUGGAGCAUGCGGUUUAAUUCGAUGCUACGCGAAAAACCUUACCAACCCUUGACAUGGUGGUCGCGGGUCUCAGAGAUGAGAUUCUUCAGUUCGGCUGGACCACACACAGGUGUUGCAUGGCUGUCGUCAGCUCGUGUCGUGAGAUAUUGGGUUAAGUCCCGCAACGAGCGCAACCCUCAUCCUUAUUUGCCAGCGGUUAGGCCGGGAACUAUAAGGAAACUGCCGGUGAUAAGCCGGAGGAAGGUGGGGAUGAAGUCAAGUCAUCAUGGCCCUUACGGGUUGGGCUACACGCGUGCUACAAUGGUAUCUACAGAGGGAAGCAAUACGGCAACGUGGAGCGAAUCCUCAAAAGAUAUCUCAGUUCGGAUUGUUCUCUGCAACUCGAGAACAUGAAGC
rnacentral:rRNA from 1 species